CUGAGCAGGCAACAUYUCUACUGUGCUAGGAUUUACUGUUAAAAGUAAUACCAGCAGCCUAGACGAGGCUCACAGAUCAGAUGGAGAUGGCCCUAAUGGGUUGAGAGUUGAUCGGGGGGUUGCUAUAAGUAGCAGCUAUACUUUCCGCUGCGGAAGGAUCAUUACCGAGAAAAUGCCCUUUAGGGUAUAUCUCCCACCCUUUGUUUACAAUACUAUUGUUGCUUUGGCAGGCCCGUCUUUGGACCGCUGGCUACUGCUGGUCAGUGCCUGCCAGAGGACCCUAAAACUCUUCUGUAAUUUGUCGUCCGAGUAUCAUAUAAUAAGUUAAAACUUUCAACAACGGAUCUCUUGGUUCUGGCAUCGAUGAAGAACGCAGCGAAAUGCGAUAAGUAAUGUGAAUUGCAGAAUUCAGUGAAUCAUCGAAUCUUUGAACGCACAUUGCACCUUCUGGUAUUCUGGGAGGUAUGCCUGUUCGAGCGUCAUUGCGACCAACAAGCCUAGGCUUGGUAUUGGAUGUCACCUAGCUGGUGCAUCUUAAAGUUAGUGGCGGUGCCAUUCAGCUUCGAGCGUAGUAAUUUUCUCGCUUCUGGAGUUUGGGUGUCGUACUAGCUAGAACCCCUAAAUUAUUAAGGUUUGACCUCGGAUCAGGUAGGGAUACCCGCUGAACUUAA
rnacentral:rRNA from 1 species